rnacentral:other from 1 species
AACCCCCUGCAGUGUGCGUGAUUGUAUGACAGACUUUGUCCUAACGCAUAAAAACAUAGGGGGGUCACGCUGAUACUGGUGUGCAGGUUCCCUCUCUUGUAAGGGAAAAGCCUAAAGGUAUUAUUGAUCCCCCGUCUUUUGGACCUUUGGUUCAAAGCCUAAAAGACAACACGGCAGUUGCGGGGGAACU